rnacentral:tRNA from 1 species
ACGGGUAUAGUUCAAUGGUAGAAUAGAGGUCUCCAAAACCUUAGAUCAGGGUUCGAAUCCUUGUACCCGUG